rnacentral:lncRNA from 10 species
AUAUUAUGGUUAAGAACUCCAAGGCAUGUGCUACAGGAAUUAUGAGAAUAAGUAGCAGCCUGGCUGUUAGUGAGGCUCCCCAGCCUUAAAGGGCUACACCUGAAUUCCAGCCCAAACUGUUGGAAAGAGCCUCAAGAAAUGAUUGACAGGUGUCAAGGGCAUGAGGCCUUGGAAUUUUCAGGGAGGGUGACCCUGGGAAGAGGAGAAGGACUCUUAUGAUUAACUUAGACAACAGUUUGAAGCAAUUUUAACUUCAGUAAUAAAGAAAAUCUGACCUUAUUUUGUAGGUGAUAUCAGUUAUGCUUCAUAAGGAAAAGAUUUGAAUUUGUACCAAGUGUUUUAGAAACAUAGUGUAAAUUAUUCAAAUUGCAAAAAAGUAAUCCUCAAAUUUUGUCCUUUAAGAUGUCAUCUUAAGAUGGACAAAAUUCAUUCAGUGGGAUGGAAAAUUACAUUUGUCAAAUCUUGUGCUAACCAACGUGCUUCUCCCACCCAAGAAACACAAACACAUCUCUGAGAUAUCCAGAGAGAGUUGUAGUAAGUAGAACAGUGGUAAGACCUCUCCUUCUGUUUUUCUCAGUGAUUUUUAACUGCUAAAACCUGGAAUUUAGUGUAGUACAUUGUUUCCAUAUAUUGAAAGGGUCAAAAAGUGAGGCAGAAUGGAUAUAGGUGCUAAGAGAAUGAAGGUGGGUGAGGCAUUUAAAAUUUUUCAAAAUGUUAACAAUUGCACCUGAUAUUUUAAUUUUUAUCAAGAAAACCCUUGCUUAAAGCCAUAUGUUACUUUUUCUGUACCGAGACCAGGAGGUACCCUGCAUAGUUACCCAUUUGUUCUUGCAGUUCUUGUUUCAUAUGCACAUUUUAUCAAAAAGAAUAAGUAGUCUCCCCUUAUCCACGGGGAAAACAUCCCAAGGCCCCUACAGGGUGCCUGAAACUGUGGAUGGUAUGGAACCCUGUAUGUACUAUGUUUUUUUUUCUAUAGAUAUAUACUUAUGACAAGGUUUAAUUUAUCAGUUAGGCACAGUAAGAGAUUAAUAAUAAUAACUAAGGUUAAACUAGAACAAUUAUAAUAAUAUGGCAGCAUCACUAGUCUUGUGCUUUGGGGACAUUAUGUAGUAAAUUAAGGGUUACUUGAACAUAAGCUCUGCGAUAACUCUACAGUGAAUCUGAUAAACAGCUACUGAGUGAGUAAUGGGUGGGGACUGUAUACAGCGUGGAUAUGCUAGACAAAAGGAUGAUUCACGUCCUCGGCAGGUAGGAGCAGGAUGCCAUGAGAUUUCAUCACACUUCUCAGAACACUGUGCAAUUUUAAAGUUAUGAAUUGUUUCUGGGUAACUGAAACUGCACAACAUGAAACCAUGGAUAAGGAGAGCCCUAUCGUACUGGUAUCAUCUAUGAUUAAUUCAAAUGUGUUGACGCAUCAUUGAACUUACGUGAUUUAUGAAGGCCAAUUUCUUUAGAAUAUAAUAACAUCAUGAUGUUUAUUACUUGGCAGGCAUUUGCAGGUGUUAAUUCCCAUUAUGAGGCACGCACACUGAUGGCUACACAGCAGGAAAAAUCUCCUAUUGGAGAAUACAAUUGAGAUGUACAAGGCAGGGGGCAUUUCGUGCUUGAUUCUUUUCUCCAUGGAGAAUUUGGAAGAUGAUAUUAUUUCAGUCAUUUAAAUAUUUGUAGAAAUUACUCUCUUUAGGAGGAAUAACAUGAUGCCAACAUAUUGUGGGCUCAAACAAGCAUCAGAAAAACCAUGUCGUCUGGUCAAUGUCUACUUUUCCUUGUGACAUUUCCCAUCUCUGAAUCCCAUGGCAGUUCUGUCUUUGGAAUCAUCUGUGCAACUCUCUAAGGACAUGUGGACACCUCUUCACUUCUAGUGUGCCUGCUGAGACCCAAGCUGUCCUGAGGAGAACAGCUGCUUUAUGCUCAGGAGAUCUGCAGUCAGGGCUGCUGUGUGCUCCUUUUCAAGGUGGUAAUUUCACCAAAACUCAUCGAGGAAGAUGGUGGAAAGGCUCCUGUCUUGUCAGUUUCUCCUUGAGAGGAAAGUGAAGCUAAAAUAAUCUUCGUAACGAAGUUGCCAAAAGAAAAAUGCAGGAAAAUCCUAUCUUGCCAACACAAUUUGAUCUUGUGUAGCCUGUUAGAAGGCAAACUUGGUUCCUCAUAAAAAGGCACUUGGUCUGGCCAGGACCUGAGUCCACUGACUCAGCUCUGCAGUCAUUUAUUCGUUCACUCAACAAAAUAUUUUUGAUUGCCUAGUACAUGUGAGUAAAAUACUGUGCUUGCCUAUUUUAAAAAGCUUCAAUAAAAACCUGGUACCUUCAUUUUACUGCUUGAGAGCAGAAUGGUUUUGAAAAAUACAGUGUGUAUUUUAAUGUACAUAAUUCUGGUUCUAGAGUCCAUGAAAUAUCACCUUUCUUUCCUCAUAUAUUUAGGGUGCAUUUAAAUAAACAAGCUGGCAAAAUUUCACUUUUUCAUCUUCAUCUAAAGAUAUUUCUAAGCUAUGCCUGAGCAGUAAGUUUCAUAGUCACAUACCAAUGUAGCUACUGACCCAAUCGGCAGGAUCUUUUCUUAUACACACUUGCCA